rnacentral:sRNA from 1 species
GGGAGGAAGAAGAGGAAGAAGAAGAAGUAGAAGUCAUUAUGCACAGGGAGCUUCGACCUACUGCAGCCCCAACACUGCUUACGGAUUGAUGGAAGAAAACUGCAGCUCUGCGUUCGGAGGACAGCAGCAUCUCCCGUCACCCCUGGACACCUUCCAUUGCAGAGGCUUCUAACUUCCUGAGCAGUUAUGGAGUAAAGGAAUACCAGGCCCUGUGCAGAUCUGUCGUGAGCCUGAUUAUACAGCCCUCCUGGGAACCUGUCUUCUUGCUGCUUCAUAAAGGCUGGGGCUUCUCUCUUUGUUUCCCAUGUAGAGGUGGGGGCUUUGGGGCUGGCCCCUUCUCUGUGAAUUAUUUGCAACCUUUUCCUGCUCCCCUCACCCCACCUCCACCCUCCGUACUAUGACCCUGGGAAGCUGGGAGGGGCUGGAGGGGUGGAAACUGGGAUUCUUGGCAGCUCCUCGCUCCAGUGGUAUGAUCAGGUUGGCCAAGGUAGAGUACACCAGCUAUGAGCUCUACCUCCCUGGUGGUAGGUUUGGGGCUGAUAAGAACCCUGCUUCCUGCUGCUCUGCUCCCUAGAGCACUCCAGAGGCCCACUGUGCCCCUUAAUCCUGUUCUGCGUUUUCAGAUAGCUGCCGCUUCGUGACUAAAGGCCCUGAGGCAUUUCUUUCCUAAGGGGAAGCUGACUGGCACUGUUAAUGCCUCGCACACACACACCACACUGCCACCACCCCCUGGCUACUGUGUGUAGGCUGUCUGUGAAGUAUGAUAAAAAAAAAAUCAAUCAGAACCAAAGAUAAAGAUACAGGAGCAAAGAGGUUUUACUUGGAGAAAGUAGAAACAGAGCAACCUACACGUGUUGCCAUCCCCCUCUAAGAAGAAAACCAGCCAGCACUGGUACACCACGCUCUCCUAGAGCUGACCAGACCCAUCUUGAAGAAAGAUGAUGAGAACCAGGCACUGGGACAGCCAGCCUCAAGAUCUGGACCACAGGGACAUCCGCCAAUUCUGGAUUGCAGGUCACUCCAGAGGCCAAGAAGCAGCAGCACAGGGGUGAAGUCUGUGACCAGGAGCCUGAGAUCAGGGCAGCUCCCAGCCCCAUGCCCGACAUAUGGCCAACAGACACCUGGUUUUAGUCACACCCUGUAAAACCCAGCUGAGACUGAGGGAAACCUGCCACCAGUUCCUGGAUUAGAAGAGGGAAGGCUGUGAUGUCUAUCCAGUGGUUCUCCAUAUGAGCCUCAGGGUCUCUUCUUAAAGCCUGGGCUGGCUACAAAACAAUUCCCCUGCCUCAGUCCCUGAGUGUUGGCGUUAUAGAUAUUUGCUACCAUACUUGGCCUCAGGACGGGGUCUUAUGAUAGUGUUCAAGGGGUCAGGAACCAGAAUCUGAAAGAGUCUGCGGCGUUCCUCUUCCUAUGAGCUCCCUGGAAUGAAGCAAGACCUGCCAAGGUGAAUGGCAGACAAGAGUGACCUCUGAGCUCCAGAUGCAGUGGCCAUGCUGCUUCCAGAGCUCUCUGCAGAGUGUUCAGUGGUGUCUUUCCCCUCGUCUGAUCCUCUCUCAAGCCGUUCGCUGCCCAUGUUCCCUUCUUCAGCCUGUGGCUCUCUGGCCACUUCUGCCUUCAACAAUUAGCAGCCAGACUUGGUACCACCCUGUGCAAGGCAUGCGAUGUUUGCAGUGACCGAGUCAGUGUGGCCAGUGGCACAGAGACGGUCUUGUUGUUAGAUCCUGCUACUCCCCUGGCCUCCAGCGUGGCCUCCAUUGGGAUUUGGGUUUCUUAGGGAAAGUUACCGAGUUGGAUUCUUUAUCACGAGGAUGUAGGCACUUGGUCAAAGAGAAGCAGUGCCUAGCUAAUCAGUGACUAAGGCUGGGACACAUCCUCCCUCGGUUCUGUCACCUAAACCUGGCAUCUUCAAGUUAUGUCCACAAGCAGUCAUCCGGCAGCCUCCUCUGUGGGAAGACAUUGCUUUUCUCCGUGAGUGACUGCCUGAGAGCCACCCAUGGCUGGUGUAGCGCCUCACUCCCCAACAAAGGUUUUUAUAGCAUCUGUGGGAUCCCUUGCGACUGAGCACAUCAGUCAGGCGCCGAGUGGGACAUGGAGGUGACAAGAAGGCACACCGGCACUUGGCUGGUAAAUCUCAGACGUCUCAUUUCCCCGGCAGUCUGAUUUUGCUUUGCUUUUGAAAACAUUAGCAUAUGUGAUUCAAUUUGCUGUUCCUCCUCGUUAGAUGAGAAGUUAAUGAAUUGCAUUGCUAUUUGAUCUGGCCACAGGCUAUUUCAUUAGCUAAAUACCGCUCCCAUUAGUUUUAUUGGCCUGGAGAUUAUAGCAUUUGAGGACUAGAGCCGAUGUUUAAAUGGACAGUCCCCACCCAUUCACUUCAGCUUCUGUUUCUCUAGAGAGGCCGCACGGCCCUUCGGGUCUCACCCUGACUAGACCGUGUCUUCGCUGUCUGGCUGUUCAAGGAUAAGCAAGGACAUUUCCUCAUGGGAGGCUCCUGCGACUUAAGGGAGCUGAGGCUCCAGACAAAACCAUCAGGGGUCUGAGGAAUCCACUGGGACUCGAUGGAUGAAUGAGCUGGCUCCUCCAACAUUUGUUUUGCAUAAAGGCCAUUAUUCAACUACACUUAAGAUGCAAGCCGUUCUUUACUCCCCCUGCUGUAGCUUUAAGACGAAUGGAAGAAAUAAUUGUUCUAACAGGCAUAUGAAUUAUGUGCUGAAACUUAAAUUUGAUUACUGCUUCAUA